rnacentral:lncRNA from 1 species
AUGUCACCAUAUCAUUCCCCAAAGCAAAUGAAGCAUAAAGAAACACAAGGAGACAGGCUCACUUUCUCUUCUUCGGGACUGUCGUUCCUGGGUCACAUAAAUUCUGGGUGGAAUGAGACGGUGCCCCUCACGACAGAGGAGAGAGAGAGUCAGAAGUUGGGUGUUGAAUGCUCCAUUGUGCAGCUGUUACAUUUCACAGUUCUAACCCAAGUCGCACUCAGAAUAGUUUCUCCUUCCACUCUUCUGGAAGAAAAACAUGCAAGCAGGAGUUUUUGUGUUUCCAAAAAUGUGCUGAGGGUGAACUCCGAGGAUGGUUCACAACUGAUCGAAUCGAGGGAUGCAGAACCAAGGAUCAGACAGAAGCAAGCAGGAAGCCCGGAUAAUGGAGGAGCCAUGGAUACAGAGGGCUAACUGUAAGUUAUAAAGUUGAAAGACUGACACUAUUAAAUUUCAAGACUUAAAGUUAUUACAAUUAAAACAGGGUAAAAUUGGUUCAGAGGUAAAUAGAUCAGUAGAAUAUAAUAAAAUUCAGAAAUAGACUCAUAUAUGGUACAUACAGGCAACUGUGAUAUAGUUGGGUAAAAUUUUUUUUAAUGAAUAGUUCUGGACCAACAUGAUAAUAUGUUAGAAAAUAUCAAAUUCUGUCUCAUAGUGUAUAGAGGUCAGCUUAAAGUUAUGAAAACAAAGUCACAACCUCAUUCAUCAUCAAGGAAGUACAAAUUAAAAUCCUUAAGGCAACUCUGAUCCUGGGGAGAAACUGGCCUUGCCAUGCUAUGUCAUGCUACUGGGGGAAAUAUGAAUUUGUAUUACCACUGUGGAACACUAGUAGUAUUGACUACACAUACCUUGUUAUCUUUAUUACAUUAUUCUGUAGUAAGUUUUUAAAAUAAUCAUCAAGUGUUGCCACAUUCUUAAAUUUUUUCCUCGAUGUUUUAUGGUUCUUACUGUGCUCUGAAUGGAAUCUCCUUCCCCUUUUUUUCACUUCUGAUUGCAUUGUCUUGUUGGUUAUUACUGCAUUACCGGGAAGUUUGAUUUUCUGUGUUGAUCCUUUCUAUGGCCGUGUGUAUUUAUAUUUAAGUAGAUAUCCUUAGAAUCUAAAUUAGUUUCAUUUUUUAUCUCAUCCUUUCAGUUUUCCACAUUAUAUUUAUGUUUUUUGGAUUAGUGCUUUGGAUCUUUGGAUCUUUGCUAACGUAUUGAAUAUUAGUGAUGAUAGCAGCCAAAAUAUCCAAUGCCUGACAAUUGAGAUAAUGUUUCUAAUACUGUAUUAUUAAAAAUCAUGGUUUUAUAACUUUUUGGUGACUACUGUUUUUCAGGUUAAGGAAGUUUUCUCCUAUUGCUAAUUUUCUAAGAGAUUUUAUUUAGAAUGAGUGAUGAAUUUUAUAAAAUUCAUUUCUGCAUGUGUUUUUUAUUUUAUGUAUAAUUUAUUAUAUAUAUAUUCCUUAUAUUCUUAAUGUUGAAAAAAUUUUCAUUCCUAUCAUUCUUUAAAUAUAUUCCUGUG